rnacentral:rRNA from 1 species
AGUCUGGCCUGCCCAAUGAUUUUUGAAUGGCCGCAGUAUUUUGACUGUGCAAAGGUAGCAUAAUCAUUAGUUUUUUAAUUGAAAGCUGGUAUGAAAGGUUUGAUGAGAAAAUAGCUGUCUCUAUGUAAAUGUUUUAUAAUUUCAUUUUUAAGUGAAAAAGCUUAAAUUUUUUAUAAAGACGAGAAGACCCUAUAGAGUUUUAUGUUUUUCUAGUUUUGAUAUUUAAGGGUUUUAUUUUAUUGGUAUUAGUCAAGUAUUUCGUUGGGGCGAUGGAAAAAUUAGGUUAACUUUUUUUUGUUUAUAACAUUGAUUUAUGGGUAUUUGAUCCUUAUUUUUGGAUUAUAAGAUUAAAUUACCUUAGGGAUAACAGCGUAAUUUUUUUUGGAGAGUUCUUAUCGAUAAAAAAGUUUGCGACCUCGAUGUUGGAUUAAAAUUAAAUUUUGGUGUAGAAGCUAGAAUUUUAGGUCUGUUCGACCUUUGAAAUUUU